UCCCGGCGUACUGGUGUGUGUCACCUCCUGCAUAAAGUUCUGCUCCUUGAAACCCCCUCCUGCACCCCCCCCACCCCCAGAACAAGCCAGGAACAGUGCCCUCUUCACAGGUCAUUGGUCCCAGGGCUGGCGUGGCCCACACUGGCACCAGCAGCCUGGCUUGCUGGCAGAUUCCGUGACAGGCAAAGCAAGUGGCUGAGAAAUUCACAACCAGAGACAUCUUUGACUGGGCAGAGACUUGGCGUUUUGAUGAUUGACUGAAGUGUAGGUUAACAUGCCGGCAUGGAAGCAGAGCUGGAGAGCACAGCGGAGCCCUUCAUAGGCCAGCAGAUGAAGGUGACCAGCCCUAUGGACCCUGGCUCAGCAGCCUCCCCAGGACAGAUUGCUCCAAUUUCAAAUACUAACAAUGUCAUGUUCUACUUGGAACUCGAAGUGCUCUGCAAGCGAGACGAUGCCAAAAGCCUGUGUGAUGUAAUCGGAUACCAUCUUCUUCUUCUC